GCCCCUAAGCUGUUGUUUGUGAACCAUAUUGAAAUUCGUGAGAGCUUGAAAAUGUCUCCCAAAUACAUGCUAGUGUUGUUGAUAGCAUUGGUUUUGGCAGUCUCGUCCCUUUCCCAUGGUCCAGUACACGGUUCAGUACACCCAAGGCCUCAUCCUCCUCCAAAAAUUACUCGAUACUCCGCGCCACAUAUACAUAAACCAAAACCACCAAACGUGGCAACAACAAACACCUAUGCAGCAAAGAAGCCUCCAACUAAAGGUUGAACUGUUAGGCUAUGAUCAAAGGUUUUGCAACGUCAAGGGAGUAUAUUACAACAGUAAUCGCAAUUUGAAACCUUGACUAGAGAUACUUUAAUGGCAUAUAGUAUUAAUUAAUGGUCAGUGCUAUGAGUAUGCAUGUAUGAUUAAAUAAUAGUUAGUUAGGAGUUUGUUUGAACUGUUGUAAUACCUUGUUAUGAGAGUCUCCAUCUGUGUGUUUUGAUUUCCACUUAUAUGCAUAGUUUGAUGUGUUCACGAUGUGCUCUCUCUUUUGUUUAUGUUUGUACAACAUUCUAAAGGCCACAAGAUAAGACAUGAGAGUUAAAUUGUUAAAUAAAAUUAAACAAGAUCGUGAUAAGAUAAUAAUAUGAUAAAUUCUUAAACUAUUCAACUUUAGAUACUAGAAUUUAGGUUUAAUUUGGGUCGAACCUAGCUUCAUAAAACUGGCUUAAAACUAUUAAGAACAUAUUAGAAUUUUUAAUAUCCGUCUCUAACAUAUUAGGAUAUUUAAUUUCCUAUAAUUGAUAACCAGAGACGGACUUAGAGACGGAUUUGUGACAUCAUCUGAAUGAAUUUUUUGGUUUCUAGCUUCCGUCUCUGAAAACGUUAGAUAAGGACAGACACGGAAAUAUAGAUGUUUUGUUUCCAUCUCUAAGUUCCGUCUUUAUAUCAAACUUUUCUAGUUGUUAACCCAUACCAAUAAUCUUUUUUGAAUUUCUUCAUGAGAAAGACUCGUGUGUUUUUUUUGCUUUAUCAAUUCUAUUUUCUAAAUUCCCAAAACAAGUCUUGUUCAACCACUUCAAAUUUUGUUUGAGAAUUUUAAGUUUUUCUUUGAGCACAUGUACUCUAGCUUGAAAUCUGCAACUUUUUCUAUUUAGUUUCCAUAACCUUUACAAAAACUUUACUUAUAAAAACUAUAUAUUAGUAAUCUUGAAUCUAAGAGACUUAAAGUUUGUUUCUUAAUAAUUUCUUAUCAUUGAAAUUUUUACGUAUAAAGGACCUAACUAUUGAGGGACCAAAAACCAGAUUCCAUAUAAGUUACAGCAUUUUUUGUGAGGGGUCGAUAUAAGUCACCCAAUUAACAUCGUGCAAAAAGACGCUAAUAGAAGGGUUAUAUGUCGUUUCCAUAAGUUAGAAACACAUUUUUAUUAGAAAAUUUCUGACAAUAAAUGUUAUAUGUUGUUUAUGGUACAUUUUACAGAGAGGAGUGUCCUAGGGGACAGGGAAAAAAGGUGGAACCAUGAAAAUUCAUUUUCACGCCCAAAUUAAUUAUCCAAGCACAAGUUAGUAUUAUUCAAAUUCCAAAAUAAUUAAUUGCAAUAGCUAUUAACAGUACACCAACAUGAAGCUGACAAAUUGGUUUUGAGGAUGCACCCUGAACUUAUUGCAUGUCUUCCUAUUGCGGCAUGGUAAUGAAAACUGGGCGCGGUUGAUAGAUAAGAACAAAGAAGUUAUUGGAAGGGCUGAUACGUGUUAUGGUUACAACACAGAUGGAGGAAAUACCCACAUGCAUGCAGGCAUCCUGGUUAUGCAUUUGAACUCAAGGAAGGUUACGUCAAUUUAAACCUCGAAAACAAUCGAGUUAUGACCCAUUCUUGGAUGGGAAUUCAAUGAAAGGUGUUGAUUUUGCACGUGGGGGGAUGAGUUUUACUUGGUAAACAACACCCAUCACAAACGUAACCUCCACUCUGAUUUCACCACUUCCAUGUUUGAUUUAUUAAAUAAGUGUUUGUACUUUAGUAUCCAUGUAUUUUUAUAAUGUUUAACUUAAUUUGUCACAUAAUAAGUAAAAGCUAUAGAUAUGCAAUUAGGAACUUUUAAAACCAAAUCAAAACAGUUUGUAAAUCGUAAAAUCCAUUAAAAAAAUAAAAAAUCAUAAAAAUAUAAAAUAUAAAAAAAAAUCGUAUCUUUUUUUUGGUUUGGUUAGUUUUUUAAUUUUGUUAAAAAAAAUAAACUAAAUCGGACAAAUCCACGAUAAAUAUUGAAUAAUCUUUUCAUUUGUUUUAUAAUUAAGAUAUAUAGAAAAUAGUAAUUUUUAACUUAAAAAUGUUAAAAAUAAAUAAAAUUUAUUUUAAAAGUAAUAUAAGAUAAUAAUGAUAUAACUUUAAUUGAAAAACUUUAAUUUAUGAUAAUGAAUUAAAAAAUAAAAAAACUGUAAAACCAAAUUAAAUCAAAUGAUAAAAAAUUAAUUUGAUUUGAUUUAGAUUUAAUAUAAUAUUUAAAUUGAAUCACAUUUUUAUUUUAUAUUUAAUUUAGAUGACUAUUUAUUUAAAAAAAAAAAACAAACAAACAAACAAAUUAAACCAUCCGACAAAGACUCACAUUUACAUAACCGCUUACCUGUAAAUGCCGUAUGCAAAUGCAG
rnacentral:lncRNA from 1 species